GCCCUUCGGGGCAUAGGGUGAACUGAAAAUAUACAGAGAAGAUUAACAUGGCCCCUGCACUAAGGAUGACAUGAUUCAAUCAAAGAGAAGCUACCUAUUUUU
rnacentral:snRNA from 1 species